UACGUUAUCUCCCUUUCCCUUUUUCUCUCUGUCCCUCCCUCCUUCUUCCUCUCUAUUCUUCCCCUCCCCUUGUUUUUAUGCCUGAUUAUGUGGACACAGACAAGGAUUAAAACAGGGCACCUGCCCUUGAGGAGUUUACAAUCUGCUGGGCUGAGGAUCAACACAUGUUCAAAAAGAGAGGAAAGAAGUCAAGGGAGAUCAUGCCAGAUGGACUUAAUUUCAAUGAAGAACAGGAGUCCUAAAGAUUAAGAAGAGAGGUCUUCCUGCCUGUAAGAAGGAGGCACUCUCUGCUUCUGUCAUGUGCUAAGCUUCGUCAAACAGAUUAUCUCUCUAAAGGUAGAGGCCUGUGAUUGACCGCUGUACCAAUGACUGAGCAGGGAGAGAGCAUUACUUCUUUAAAUCACCAUAGCACUGUGUGCAAGCCACUUUCUCUGAGUGAUUCUUCAGCUUUAAAAUGGAGUGAUGGCAAAGAACGUAUGUUAUUUCCUCCACGAAACACUACUUCUUAAGAGCUCAAGUCCAGAACCCUUCAUUCUUCCAGACAUAAAAGUCAGCCUGGAUGGCUACCACCACUAAUCAGAUUUGUCUGCUGAUGCAAGGCCCUUCAGUCAUUCCAGAACUGGUAAAUGGAGUCACCCUGAGGACAGGCCCUGCUGCUGAUUGAUGUCCAGUGUGGGCAGCUCUCUUGGCUGCUCAACAUUCAGAGAGGCUCUCCUUGUUUCAGUGCUAAAUGAUUGACAGUCAGGGUGAGUAUUUCAGGAGGAAGAGUCCCCCGCCCACUCCAGCCAUGUGGCAAAGGUAUUUGCUUCCUUGGGAAGGAAGUGAUUUAUCUGUGGGAGAACACUGUUUGGGCAAAGUUGCGUAGGAACAGCGUCUGUCUCUGCAAGCAUGUGUGUAUGUGAGUGUGGGCAUAAAGCAGCAAGAGUGGAAGGUAAAGACAACGUGAACGUCAUAAAAGAACACUUCUUUUUACAAAUGCUUGAAAACAUUCGAUGCUGAAAGACUUCAGACCACAUAAAUGAAUUUGCACCUAAUUCAACAUAGCUAUACUUCUUUCUUUUUCAGAAUUAAUGAGCCUGCCUUAUCAUUAGUUUUAUCAUAGAAACUAUCACAGAGAAGAAACCAUCUUAGAGAGAAAUCGGUGGAAGACAAGAUGAAAAAGGAAAAAUAAAAAAGACUGGAGGCAGGGGAACAUGGAGAAUGCAAGUGUGUUUGCAUUUGCACCAAGUUUGAGUUGAAAGGCUUUAUAAGGAUUUUGAGCAGCUGUAUAAGUAGUUAGAGCUAGAUAUGUGUAUAUGUGUUGCCAUUAACCAAGUUACUUCAACAUUAGCCUUAUGAUUAUAUGCCCUAGCAUUCAGAUUCAAGGAAGAAACAGUUUCUCUGGAGAAUUUUGUUCCUUAGUGACUGAUUUCAGUUGAUUUCAAGGUAAGCCAGGUAUGUAACUAACUUUUUAAAUUUAGAUGAAUAUAAGUUUAUGUUAUUAAUGAUUAUUUGUUUAUUCAUAAAAUUGACACUGACAUGUUACUAAAAUACAAGAAUCUCAAUUUUAUAUUGAAGAAAUUAAUUCAUUAGGUCAAACACAUAAAAAUUCUGAAGUGAAAAUGAUUCAUGUGUCAAGUGGUCAUAAUGUAAGACCCCAGUAAAUAUUCCACAGUAGGUUGAGCUAAUGGCAGUUGCUUCUCAGUACACAUUCAAACAUAUUUUCUCACAAUCUAGAGAGUUCAUCUACACUGGGCAGAAAGGGCUAGAUUGAUUAGCAACCAAAGGCCUGAGCUCCAUCGCUGGUUGCAUAACAAUAGCUGUGUGACCUUUGAUAAGGUGCUUAGCCUCUCUAUGCCACUGCUUUCUCACCUGUCAUGUAAGUGUAACAAUGUCUUUCUCACCUGUCUCAUAUUAUUGCUAUGCAGAAGAAAUGAGAUUUCAUUCUGGAAGUUCUUUAAGCCCCUGAACAAAAUGCAAGUUUUUAUGGAUCCACACACACAUACACUAUUCAUGAUCAUGAAUACAUAAUGUACUCUGUUUUGAAUAUGCUGUAGGUGUUUUGUGCUUUGAAUGCUUGUGCCUGGAGAUCCCAGCCCAUAACAGCACACAAUAGGUGUCCCCUGUGGGGGUAACCCACAGAGUAUAACUCCCAGAGUAUAACCCAGGUGAUAUUCUGCCACACCUGUGCUCUGACAGAUGGUGGUGUGGAGAGAGAAAUUUGCCACAUCAACACAUGCCAAGGUAAGGAGAACAGAGCCACGUAAUAGCAACACCAAAGCCUGUCUGUCCAUUAAGCCAAGUCAAAUGCCACUUUCUUCACAUAGCUUUCUGGGGCUUCUUUCUCCUCCUGAAGGAAUUAAUUUCUUCUGAAUCUGUGUACUUGUUUCACUCUGUCGAUGUGGCCUUGAACUUUCCGUACCCAUGCCAACCCCAACAGCAUUCAGCUGGCACCCAAUAAAUAGGAUUCCAGCUCUCUUAGAGUCUGCAGCCUCAGUUCUGAAAUUCUGGCCUGACCCUGAGUCAUUCCUCAGAUUAGAUUUCACCCUAUUUGUAUUCUCCUGCCUUGCAACUUCCAGCCAAGUCAAUACAUAGUUACCAAGCACUUGCUAUUUGCUAGGAGUGUGCUAAAUUAUGGGGUACGGUAAUGGACAAUAAUUCAUGUCUUUUGCUCUCUUGAAGAUUAGAACCUAAUGAGGCUAUAAACAAUUAAACAAUUUCAAUCUUCAAACUAAGGAAUUUAUAGGGAAAUUUUCAAAAAGGGUCCAGUAUGAGAUAUAUGAGAUCUAUGGGCUGAGAAGGUGUUAAUUAGGUGAAAGUCUGUUUAGAAAGGCAGAAUGUUCCAAGUAAUACAUCUAGGCAACAAAGGAGAACCUGUUACAUUUAAGAAAUGGAAAGACACUCGGUUUGGACAAAGCUAAGUACUAAGCAAAAGCCAACUUCUUUACCUAUUUCUCUACUUCCAGCUUCACCUUAUAUUUGGUACCUUCAUACUUAAUGUUGGGCUCUGUAACUCCCUCCUGUACAGCCUCUUAAUCACCUCCCCAGUUUGGUCAACACCAAGAUCCCAGUUCCUUUUGAUCCCCAAACGGACUAAUUUCCUCUUGCCUUAUAAAUGGAAACUGAUCUGUCUCAAUGUUUUUUUUUUUAACAUGUAAUUUGCAUCACAAUGAUCCAAUUUGAGGGCACAUAUUAUUUUUCUUAUCAGACUGCCAAGGAACAGAUGAUCUUUGUAUUUCCUCCCAAGUACCUAGAAUAGUGCCUAACAAUACAUUUGUAUUUUCCUAUAACAAAUUUCUAUCAUGUCACUUUCUGGUUUAAAAUCCUUCAGUGACUCUGCAGUACAUUUUAGGACAAAACCCUAUUCCAAAAUACAGGCCACAAGUCCCUCAUGUUCCAGCCCCAUUAGCCUGCCAGCCUCACCAAAGGCAGAAGCCCUUUGCCCUCCUCACUUCCCCUUCCACUUACAGGAAGCACUCAACUUCUCAAGGCUUCUUGCUCCUUCCUGCCUUUGAGCUCCCUCACAUGCCAUUCUUUCUGCUUGCCCCACCCAGCCCCACCCAGCCAGACUCAGCCCUUCACUGUGGCUCAUCUUGGAGGUCUCAGGUUACAUAUCACUUCACAGGAAGGCUUUCCCCAAUACUCACUUAGUUGCUACUGCUACAAUAUGGCACUUAUUAUGCUUUACUGAAAUUACUUGUUGAAAUGUUUAUCUCUCCUGCUGAGGGUAUCUCAGCCUUGGUAUGAUUGACAUUUUGGACCAAAUCAUUCUUUGUGGCGGGGGCUGUCUUGUACAUGGUAGGUUGUUUAGCAGCAUCCCUGGCCUCUACCCGCUAGAUGCCAGUAGCACCUUCCCCAGUUAUGACAGCCAAGAAUGUCUGCAGACGUUGCUAAAUGUCUCCUGGGGGGGCAGUCACAUCCAUUUGAGAGUGACUGUGCCAGAUCAUUGAGAAGGUAAGGACUGUGUCUUGAAUAAGUAGUGAAUACCACUGUAUCACAACCUGGCAUUUAGUGGAAGGCUACUGAUCAUGUGUUGCAUGAAUGAAUAGAAGUUUUUACUAUAAGCUCCUACUGAAUGAAUGAAUAUUAGUAAGAAAACUGUGUCAGAAACACUGGUAGUUCAGAACCCUGCAUUUUUAUUUAAUGAAGGGUGGAACCUGCAAGAACAUGGUGGUCUCUUACUUUGGAACCUGUCUCCUCCUUGCCUGUUAAUCGGUCCUGGUCCUCUAUUCCCCCCACCCCCAAACAUACCUCUUUGGGCUGCCCUGUCCACCCAUCUCCCCUCUACCAAGCAGAAAAAAAAGGUUCCAGCUCCCUGAGCUUUCUUCUUCAAAGACAUUUAAGCUUUUAAUGCGAAUCCUGAUUAAUUAACAAGGGCACGGGACUUACAUGCAUUUCAAGUUGCUUUUAUCUCGUGAAGAAAAGAAGCCUUUUGGCAGAUACUUUCUGUUCAAUGUCUAGUUCAGUAUUUCAAAGGGCAAGCUGUGAUGGGCUGAGCGGGUUACCAUUUGUGUGUGUGUGAAGGGCAAUGACUAGUAAUUAAGGGACAGACCCCUUUAUGUCAACUUAAGAAAAAAAAUUAAUCUCAGCUUCAUUUCAAGCUGGGUUUGGUGUUGAAGGGCAGAAGCAAAAUAGAAAGGGGGUACACUGUAUGGUAAUGGCUGGAUCUCUUUGGCUUUGAAUGAAAAAGCUAAUAUUUGUUGAGAACCUACUGUAUACUAUAUCAGAUCCCCCCAGAACCCUGUGGAAGAGUCAAUAUAAUUUAAUUUUACAAAAACAAAGUUUGGGAGGCAUCAAGUUAUUUGUCCAAAAUACAACAAAUAGUCCAGCCAUAUUCAGAAUAUGGUAGAUCUGAAUACAUUCUUUCAUCCAAAACUUCCGGCUUAGUCAAUUGUCUGCUGCUAUAAUAGAUACCACAGACUGGGAAAUUUAUGAAGAAAAGAAAUUUAUUUGGCUUAUGGUUCUGGAGGAUGGACAGUCCAAGGUCAUGACACUUGGAUCUGUUCGGCCAUCUGGUGAAGACCUUGUUGCAUUCUCCCAUGGUGGAAAGAAGAAAGCAAGUGAGUACAAGAGAUAGAGAAAGAUAAGGGCAGAACUUACUCUCUUAUCAGGAGUCCGCUUCUAUAACCCAUUCUAAAAAUAAAGCAUUAAUCCAUUCAUGAGGGUAGAGCCCUCAUAACCUAUCACCUCUAAAGAUCCCACUUCUUAAUACUGUCACAAUGGCAAUUAAAUUUUAACGUGAGUGUUGUAGGGAACAUUCAAACAACAGCAACUACAACAACAACAGACGUCAGCUCCUGUGUGUCUUCCCUUGCUCAUCUAUGCCUACCAGAAUAGAAUGAAAGAAGGGUUUAUUUGAUCCUGUGUUCAAGUCAUUCAUUUAUUCCACUAGGCAAUCUGUCAAGAUCUCAUAGAUUAAGGGCUCCUACAGCAACCUGUACUCACCCUAUUUUACCCUUUAUCAUACAUUUUUGGUAAGUAAUCUUUUUAUUGUUCAACUUCCCAAAUAAAAUAUAAACUUUUAACAAACAGGGACCUUGGCUUUCUUGUUGAAUUCUGUAUCCUUAGUGUUUCACAUGGGGACUGACACAAAGUAGGUUUCAAGAAAUAGUUGUUGAAGUAAAUAUUUCCUUAGGACCUACUCUGCUGAGAUUACUAGUUGCCUUGUAUCAUAGUAGGUCAUACUUAUCCCUUCUUUUUAAGUAACAUAAUUCUCAUUUUAACCUGGAAGGCCAUACUAAGUGGCCAAAAGACAACCCAGCUCCUGUGUCAUUAAGAAUAACUGUGUAAAUCUGAUUCAUGAGAUGUAAACAGAAAUGUUGUGUUUCACUUCCAUGAAGUCUUUUACUCCAUCCUCCUCCUUAGAUCAUGCAUGUGAUGGCUGGAACUCAGUCAUUUUGGACCAUGAAGACCAGACCCACACGCUGGGGCCUAAGAAGCAGAAGUAUGAAAGCCACCUGGAUCCCUGAAGACCAUGGAAUUGUUAGAACAAUUCUACUCUAUCUGUAGACUUGUUUUAUUUGAAAGAUAAGUAGAUUUCUGUCUUAUUCAAUUCACUGAUUUUGGUUCUUUGUUAUUUGCAAUCAAAUCUAAUUCCAGUAGAUACAACUCCUAAGUGCAGAGCACUGUUCUAGGGAUUGUGGGGCAUGCUGACAUGGGUCUCAUGCCUGCAUAGCACUCAUAGCCUGCAGAAGAACAGCAGUGCUGCCAUAUCUGAUGGUCAUUUGACACACUGAACUCCAGCCAUAUCAAUUUUCUUUUCAGUCCCCAAAUGGCAGUCACCACAAAAGAAGAAAAGAUAAAGCUCUUAGUGGGAUCUGAAUCAAGAGAUACCACUUACAGUGGAAGGAAAAAAGAUCAUUUUCAUGGAGGAACUGCCCUUGAAUUUCGCCUUGAAUAUUGAUGAGUAUUGGAAUCUGCAGAGACUGGGAUAAGGUUGGGAUGAGGUCGAACACUACAGGAACAGAAAAUAUGGAACAUGUUUGGGAGCAGGCCAGGGAUUCUGUCAUAUAAAGUGCAUGAAAAAGCAUAUCAUGUAAUAUUUAUGAUUAUUGCUCUGGAGUUAGACUGUUUGGGUUUGAAUCCCAGAUCCAGUGUUUACUAUCUAUGUGACCUCGGCUGAGUCAUGAACUUCCAUGAGCUCCAUUCUUCUCACCUUUAAAAUGAAGAUCACAACUCCUACCUUCUUGGCUUGUUACCAGAAUUAAAUGAGUUUUUAUGUGUGGAGGGCUCAUGAGAGUGGCUGUCCCAAAUAAGCAUUCUCUAAAUGUUAGAUAUGACUGUCAUCCCCUUAAAACUGCAAGAGUUAGUUGAAACCAUAGCAAGCCGAGCCAUGAAUGCCAUGUUAAUGCAUGUUAAUGCCAUUAUUAUAAAGGUACCAAAAAGCUGCUGACAGUUUGUGAGCAAAGUUGUGGAUGACAUUAUCAGAGCUGUAUUUUAGGAAGUCUUAAUAUGUCAACAUAUGUCAUACUAUUAUGUUUUCUCUCCCCCGCACUCCAUUAGCCCACUGACCUAGGUGCCUCUUCCUCCCGGAACACACCAGCAUUCAGCAAUUCCCCAAGGUCCCUCCCCUGUCUCCAAAGCUGUCUGCCUGAUCACUGACUUAGGCAAAGCUUCCUACUUUUCAGAGACCUGUGAAAGGGAGCCAACCCCCUGGCUCACAGCCCCUAGCCCUAGUUGUUCCCAUGGACUUGCUGAAGGAUGUGAUUCUUUUGCCACUCUUCCACUCCUCCCCCAAUUCCUGCAACCCCCUCAGGAGUGGUGUUCUCAAUGGUGACAUUGUGACUCCAAGCCAUGAAAUAUAGGCCAGUUAUUGCAUCAUAGAUGGAUUAUAUGAGCCUUUUAUUUUCUUCUUGGUGACAACGGGAACCAUGCCGCCUUCACAAGAGCUGGCAGAGACAGUUGACUAUAUUGUAUGCUAUUAACUGAAUUAUGCCUCCUCAAAAUUUGUAUGUUGAAGCUUAUUGACUGUAUUUGGAGAUAGGGCUUUUAGAAGGUAAAAGUCAAUAAGGUCAUGAGAAUGGGACCCUAAUCUGAUGGGGCUGGUGACCUUAUAAGUAGAAGAUAUCUUUCUCUUAUCUCUCUUUCUCUCAUUUUCUCUCUCUUGUUCACUCUCUCUUCACUUCCCUCCUUUUCUCUCUCCCCCCUCUCCCUUUCUCUCCCCCCCUUUUUGAGCACAUGUGCCAAGGAAAGGCUAUGUGAAGACACAAAGUGCCACCUACAAACCAGGGAGAGAGCCCUCACUAGACACUAACCCAGAUGGCACCUUGAUCUUGGACCUCGAGCCUCCAGGACUGUGAGAGAAUAAAAUUCUGUUGUUUAAACCA